UACGGGGGGGGCAAGCGUUGUUCGGAAUUACUGGGCGUAAAGGGCUCGUAGGCGGCCAACUAAGUCGGAUGUGAAAUCCCCAGGCCUAACCUGGGAACUGCAUCCGAUACUGGAUGGCUUGAAUCCGGGAGAGGGAUGCAGAAUUCCAGGUGUAGCGGUGAAAUGCGUAGAUAUCUGGAGGAAUACCGGUGGCGAAGGCGGCAUCCUGGACCGGCAUUGACGCUGAUGAGCGAAAGCUAGGGGAGCAAACGGG
rnacentral:rRNA from 1 species